UUCCAGACUCCUACGGGAGGCAGCAGUGAGGAAUAUUGGUCAAUGGGCGCGAGCCUGAACCAGCCAAGUAGCGUGAAGGAUGACUGCCCUACGGGUUGUAAACUUCUUUUAUAAAGGAAUAAAGUGAGGCACGUGUGCCUUUUUGUAUGUAUUUUAUGAAUAAGGAUCGGCUAACUCCGUGCCAGCAGCCGCGGUAAUACGGAGGAUGCGAGCGUUAUCCGGAUUUAUUGGGUUUAAAGGGUGCGCAGGCGGCACGGCAAGCCGGCGGUCAAAUCGCGGGGCUCAACCCCGCCCAGCCGUCGGAACUGCCGGGCUAGAGUGGGCGAGAAGUGCGCGGAAUGCGUGGUGUAGCGGUGAAAUGCAUAGAUAUCACGCAGAACUCCGAUUGCGAAGGCAGCGCACCGGCGCCCUACUGACGCUCAGGCACGAAAGCGUGGGUAUCGAGCAGGAUUAGAUACCCCGGUACC
rnacentral:rRNA from 1 species